CCUUGUACACACCGCCCGUCACGCCAUGGGAGUUGGUUCUACCCGAAGGUGGUGCGCCAACCGCAAGGAGGCAGCCAACCACGGUAGGGUCAGCGACUGGGGUG
rnacentral:rRNA from 1 species